rnacentral:rRNA from 1 species
GUCCAGACUCCUACGGGAGGCAGCAGUGGGGGAUAUUGCACAAUGGGCGAAAGCCUGAUGCAGCGACGCCGCGUGAGGGAAGACGGUUUUCGGAUUGUAAACCUCUGUCGAGGGGGACGAAGGAAGUGACGGUACCUACAGAGGAAGCACCGGCUAACUCCGUGCCAGCAGCCGCGGUAAUACGGAGGGUGCAAGCGUCGUCCGGAAUCAUUGGGCGUAAAGAGUUCGUAGGUGGCAUAUUAAGUCUGGUGUUAAAUGCAGAAGCUCAACUUCUGUUCGGCACUGGAUACUGGUAAGCUUGAAUGCGGUAGAGGUAAAGGGAAUUCCUGGUGUAGCGGUGAAAUGCGUAGAUAUCAGGAGGAACAUCGGUGGCGUAAGCGCUUUACUGGGCCGUAAUUGACACUGAGGAACGAAAGCCGGGGUAGCAAAUGGGAUUAGAUACCCUGGUAAA